rnacentral:snoRNA from 1 species
CGGCGCCAUAGCAAUUGCUGGUUCAUAACUGGGGCCCCCUGCCCAUCGCGGGCGGCCCUUUUAACUGCCAGCCACAGGC